GAUUUAAUCGUGAAACCGCGAAUGGCUCAUUAUAACAGCUAUAAUUUACUUGAUCUUGACUCAAUCCUACUUGGAUAACUGUGGUAAUUCUAGAGCUAAUACAUGCAUUAAUGCUCUGACCUCACGGGAAGAGUGCAUUUAUUAGAACAAAACCAAGCGGCUUCGGCUGUUUCUGGUUGACUCAUAGUAACUGAGCUGAUCGCACGGUCUUGUACCGGCGACGUGUCUUUCAAGUAUCUGCCGUAUCAACUUUCGAUGGUAGUGUAUCUGACUACCAUGGUGAUCACGCGUAACGGAGAAUAAGGGUUCGGCUCCGGAGAGUUCGCCUGAGAAAUCGCGAACACAUCUAGGGAAGGCAGCAGGCGCGAAAAUUACCCACUCUCAGCACGAGGAGGUAGUGACGAAAAAUAACGAGACCGUUCUCUUCUGAGGCCGGUCAUCGGAAUGGGUACAAUUUAAACCCUUUAACGAGUAUCUAUGAGAGGGCAAGUCUGGUGCCAGCAGCCGCGGUAAUUCCAGCUCUCAAAGUGCAUAGAAUUAUUGCUGCGGUUAAAAAGCUCGUAGUUGGAUCUGUGCCAUAGGACGUGGUCCACCUUCGGGUGCGUACUACGCUCCUAGGCUUUUUGCUGGUUUUCCCGUCGUAGCCUUCACUGGUUGCGGCGGGUGGCUGGCGAGUUUACUUUGAGAAAAUCAGAGUGCUCAAUACAGGCGUAUCGCUUGAAUGAUUGUGCAUGGAAUAAUAGAAAAGGAUUUCGGUCCUCUUUUAUUGGUUUUGUGGACUGAGAUAAUGGUUAACAGGGACAAACGGGGGCAUUCGUAUCGCUGCGUGAGAGGUGAAAU
rnacentral:rRNA from 1 species